rnacentral:rRNA from 1 species
GACGAACGCUGGCGGCGUGCCUAAUACAUGCAAGUCGAGCGAAGUUUUUCUGGUGCUUGCACUAGAAAAACUUAGCGGCGAACGGGUGAGUAACACGUAAAGAACCUGCCUCAUAGACUGGGACAACUAUUGGAAACGAUAGCUAAUACCGGAUAACAGCAUUAACUGCAUGGUUGAUGUUUAAAAGUUGGUUUUGCUAACACUAUGAGAUGGCUUUGCGGUGCAUUAGCUAGUUGGUGGGGUAAAGGCCUACCAAGGCGACGAUGCAUAGCCGACCUGAGAGGGUGAUCGGCCACACUGGGACUGAGACACGGCCCAGACUCCUACGGGAGGCAGCAGUAGGGAAUCUUCCGCAAUGGGCGAAAGCCUGACGGAGCAACGCCGCGUGAGUGAAGAAGGAUUUCGGUUCGUAAAGCUUCUGUUGUAGGGAAAGAAAUGAUUUGUGUAGUAAACUAUACACCAGUAAAGGACGGGUACCUAACCCGAAAAGCCACGGCUAACCACCUUGCCCAGCAGCCGCGGAAAUACGUAGGUGGCAACGGUUGUCCCGGAAUUAUUGGCGGUAAAGCGCGCGACGGUGGUUAAAAGUUCUGAAGUAAAGCCACGGCCACCCUGGAGAGGUCUUUGAAAUGGUAACUUGAGUGCGGAGAAAAGAGGGAUUCCUGGAGGGGAAUGCUAGAUUAGGGACCCCGGGAAAGGGUUUUUGGCCGAUAUAACCUAAGCGAAACCGGGGAUAUACGAUAUAUACCCUGUUUUCUAGGGCAUUCAAGGGGUACAGCUUACUAUCGCCCCAGAGGGCUGUUACUCACAUAUUUCCAUAGUAGGAUAUA